CUCAGCGCCGAGAGGGAAAGAACCCAGACCGGCAGCUAAGGUCCCCAAUUCAUCGCUAAGUGGUAAAGGAUGUGGGAGCACUUAAACAGCCAGGAGGUUGGCUUAGAAGCAGCCAUCCUUUAAAGAAAGCGAAACAGCUCACUGGUCGAGUGAACCCGCGCCGAAAAUUCAACGGGUCUAAGCGAUGAACCGAAGCUCCGGGUCAGCGAAAGCUGGCGGUAGGCGAGUAUUGUCUGUGCAGAGAAGGCAUAUGGAAACGAGUGUUGGAGUGCAGACAAGAGCUGAUGUUGGCAUGAGUAGCGAUAAACCGGGUGAAAAACCCGGUCGCCGUAAACCCAAGGGUUCCUGGGUAAAGAUAAUCUUCUCAGGGUUAGUCGGUCCCUAAGGCGAGGCAGAGAUGCGUAGUCGAUGGGAAGCAGGCGAAUAUUCCUGCACCAGCACGGAUGGUUUCACGAGGGGGGACGGAGGAGGAUAGCCGAGCGGCCUGAUGGAUGGCCGUUCAAGCCAGUAGACAGGGUUUUCAGGAGGCGUAGGCCACAAACGGAGACCCAAUGUCGAGAGGUGAUGAGGGUCGUCUGGCUUGCCAGACGGACAACUCGGUGAUUCCCGGCUUCCAAGAAAAGCCCCGCGUGAGUGUACCGCUGUGCUGACCGUACCGUAAACCGACACAGGUGGGUGGGGAGAACAUCCCAAGGCGCUUGAGAGAACUCGGGCUAAGGAACUCGCAAAUUGACACCGUAACUUCGGGAGAAGGUGUGCCCUUGUGGGUGAAGGACUUCGCGUCUGGAGCCUAUGGGGGUUGCAGAGAAUCGGGGGUAGCGACUGUUUACCAAAAACACAGGACUCUGCGAAGUCGCAAGACGACGUAUAGGGUCUGACGCCUGCCCGGUGCCGGAAGGUUAACAGGAGAUGUCAGCGCAAGCGAAGCAUCGAAUCGAAGCCCCGGUAAACGGCGGCCGUAACAAUAACGGUCCUAAGGUAGCGAAAUUCCUUGGCGGGUAAGUUCCGUCCUGCACGAAUGGCGUAACGACUUCCCCACUGUCUCGACCCGGGACUCAGCGAAAUUGAAUUCGGGGUGAAGAUGCCCCGUACCCGCGGAAAGACGGAAAGACCCCGUGAACCUUUACUGCAGCUUGGCACUGGUUUUCGGACUUGUCUGUGUAGGAUAGGUGGGAGGCGUUGAAAUGGGGCCGCUAGGUCUCAUGGAGCCAGCGUUGAAAUACCACCCUGAGAAGUCUGAAAGCCUAACCGAGACCCGUAAGCCGGGUCCGGGACACUGCCUGGUGGGUAGUUUGACUGGGGCGGUCACCUCCGAAAGAGUAACGGAGGCGCGCAGAGGUUCCCUCAGGCUGAUUGGAAACCAGCCGAAGAGUGUAAAAGCAUAAGGGAGCUUGACUGCAACUCAUACAAGAGGAGCAGGUACGAAAGUAGGCUUUAGUGAUCCGGUGGUUCUGAAUGGAAGGGCCAUCGCUCAACGGAUAAAAGGUACUCCGGGGAUAACAGGCUUAUCACGCCCAAGAGUUCU
rnacentral:rRNA from 1 species